rnacentral:pre_miRNA from 1 species
AGGAGGAACAACCGCAGUGGCGGGGCCAGCUCUGCAGCCCUGGAGUCAGUUCCCGCAGUCAGCUCUCCGUCUGCAGGGCCUGGAGGCUCCGGGGCGGG